rnacentral:rRNA from 1 species
AUACGGAGGGAGCAAGCGUUAUUCGGAAUCACUGGGCGUAAAGGACGCGUAGGCGGGUUUGUAAGUCAGGUGUGAAAUCCUACAGCUCAACUGUAGAACUACACUUGAAACUACAGACCUAGAGUAUGGAAGGGGCAGAUGGAAUUAGUGGUGUAGGGGUAAAAUCCGUAGAUAUCACUAGGAAUACCGAAAGCGAAGGCGAUCUGCUGGGACAUUACUGACGCUGAGGCGUGAAAGCGUGGGGAGCAAACAGGAUUAGAAACCCGAGUAGUCC